GCAUGCAGGUACCAUCAGUAAAUCAGUUAGUUAGCAUUAGGCGCAAGUGAGGUCUUACAUGGAGGUAAGAGGACAUCUUCGAUAGCCAAGGAUGAUUUGCCUGUGAAUCUCCCCUGGGAGCCCAGCUCUCGGGCACCCGGUUCCAUGGGCAAGUCAAUUUGGCUACCCAAGCCAUGCUGGGUCUACUGCCAUUUCAUUCAUUCUAGUGCUAAACAGAAUUUACAGCUCCGGAGAUCAGGAUUGCAGGAAAUCAAUUAACUCGACUCGGGGGCGACCACCCUCCUGCCGCCGGCGUAGCCUCCUCCUCCCCCUCCAUCCCUCGCCGCUGCAUGAGGCUGAUGCCGAGCAAUCCCAUGGCGCAGCUGGGGACUGCAGCGGCGGGGCCCUUGCUGCUCCGCCUAGCGCUGGAGAGAGAUUGGAUCUAGGAAGGCGGCCCUUCCGGCGAGGCCCCUUCGUGCCGGCGAGAGGCGGGACUGGCGUGGUGCUGGUGGUCCGGUCGGACGGCCGACGAAUCUUCGGUGGACCAUGGCCUGGCAUGACUGCUCUGGCGGCCGGCGGCGCCAGAUCUGGCCGCUGUCAUCCGGCCCUGAUCGGUGGGCUUCUCUCCU